ensembl:snRNA U6 U6 spliceosomal RNA
GUGCUUGCUUCAGCAGUACAUAUACUCAAACUGGAAAAAUAACACAGAAGAUUAGCAUGGUCCCUGCACAAAGAUGACAUGCAAAUUCCUGAAACGUUCCACAAAACC